AAAAGAAAAAAAAAAGAAGAAGCUUCCAAUCUCAUUUUAUCUCCACUACUUUCUACACCAAAAUUGGGUCCCACAACCCGGUUCUUUGUCUAGAGGAUAGCAGUUGAGUACUAGUGGUGGUCUCGGGUAGAAUUGGUAAGAAGACAUCAAACCUUUUGUAAGCUUCAAAGGUAAUACUUCUUAAAACCCUAAUUUGAUUAGUUUAUGGUUACAUGUUAAUUGUGGCAAUUAGGGUAGAAAUUCGAUUCUUUUUCCGCUGUGCAUGACUUAGUUCUAUCAUGUGAUACCAAACUCCCACUUGGACUAAAAUUCCUAGUGGUAUGAGAGAUGUGGUGUGAGAGAAUAUAUAUGAAACUAGGGCACAUGGCCAAUAAGUCUCCCACUUGUCCUAGUUUACAAACAUCGUACACCUAAACUGUGUAGGUGACCCUCAAACACUUUAGCCAUGAGGGCUUUUGUAAAAUGAUGAGCUUCCAUUGUGGAAUCAGCUAUACAAGUUUGCUUUAUGCUUCUCCAAACUACUGCUCCUCCAUUUAGAGUAAAUACUGAUCCUGAUGUAGACUUUCUAACAUCUUUAUCAGUUUGGAAAUCUGAAUCAGUGUAUCCAGUAAGGAUCAGAUCCUUUGUGUACAUGAGCAUGUAGAAUGUUUUUAACGGCUGUCCAGUGAUCACGUCCAUGAUUGGAUUGAUACCUACUGACCAUCCCUACUGAGUAGCAAAUGUCAGGUCUAGUACAUAACAUUGCAUACAUUAAACUUCCAACAGCGGAAGCAUAGGGAAUAUUUCUCAUAUCCUCAACUUCUUGAGGUGUCUUAGGACAUUGUUCCUUUGACAAAUGAAUUCCAUAUCUGUACGGCAGCAGACCCUUUUUGGAAUUCUGCAUUUUAUAUCUAGACAACAUUUUGUCUAUGUAAGAUGCUUGAGACAUGGCUAGUGUUUUGUUCUUACGGUUUCGAACAAUUUGGAUUCCGAGAACGUAUUGUGCAUCUCCCAGAUCUUUCAUUUGAAAUUGCAUAGCUAGCCAUUUCUUGAUAUCAGGAAGAUAUCCUAGUCAUUUCCAAUAAGUAGAAUAUCAUCUACAUAUAAGACUAAAAAAUGCUAUAAUGGAAUUGACGACCUUUUGUAAACACAAGGCUCGUCAACAUUUUGUUCAAAGCCAUAAGAUUUUGAUCGCAAUAUCAAAUCUUAUAUUCCAGGAUCUAGAAGCUUGUUUUAAUCCAUAAAUGGAUUUUUUAAGCUUACAAACCUUUUGUUCUUGAUCUUGUUUUAUAAACCCCUCUGGUUGAGACAUAUAGAUGCUCUCUUCAAGAUUACCGUUCAAAAAAGCUGUCUUGACAUCCAUCUGCCAAAUUUCAUAAUCAUAAAAAGUGGCGAUGGAUAAGAGUAUUCUAAUUGACUUUAACAUGGCAACGGGAGAGAAAGUUUCCUCUAGUCUACUCCCUCUCUCUAGGUAUAACCCUUUGCCACAAGUCGAGCCUUAAAAGUCUGUACUUUACCGGCAUGGUCUCGUUUUCUCUUGUAGAUCCAUUUACAACCAAUAGGUUUUACGUCAUUUGGUUGAUCUACUAGAAUCUAGAAAGAAUUAAAGUACAUAGACUCCAUUUCGAGGUCCAUGGCUUUGAUCCAUUGGUCAUGAUCUACAUCUUUCAUUGCCUGUUUAUAGGUUAAUGGAUCCUCUAUGCCAUCGUCAGGUAUGACGACUUGAGUUUCAAUUAAACCCAAAUAGCGAUCAGGCUGAUGAACAACCCUCCCACUACGUCGAGGCUCUCUCAACUGUUGAGAAGGAUGUGAUUGACCAGAUUUCCUAGUCUUAUCAACUACUUUAGUGGAUGAACUAGGUUUUAUCUAUAGCACUUUUGGAAAUUUCUUUAAAUACUAGUUUACUACGAGGUUGAUGAUCCCUGAUGUGGUAUUUUAUUUUCUUGAGGAUCAUAAAACAAACCACCUCUUGAUUCUUUUGGAUAACCUAUAAAAAAGCAUAAUUUUGAACGAUGUUCCAAUUUCUUUGGAUUUUGUACCAACACAUGUGCUGGACAACCCCAAAUUUUAAAAUGACGUAAACUGCCUUUACGCCCUUUCCAUAGCUCAUAAGGUGUUUCUGAAACACUUUUAGAGGGAACAUUAUUCAAAAUAUAAGCAGCUGUUUCUAAAGCAUAUCCCCAAAAAGAAUCUGACAUCUGAGAAAAACUCAUCAUAGAGCGAACCAUGUCUAACAAGGUCCAGUUUCUUCUUUCUGAUACACCGUUCUGUUGAGGUGUACUAGGUGCAGAGAGUUGUGACUGGAUUCCAUUUUCUAUUAAAUAGUCUCGGAAUCGUAAGUCCAUAUACUCUCCACCUCGAUCUGAUCGAAGUAUUUUUAUUGUUUUACCUAAUUCGUUUUCUACUUCAGCCUUAUAUUCUUUGAACUUUUCAAGACUAUUAGACUUAUGAUGUAUUAGGUAAAUAUGACCAUACCUUGAAUAAUCAUCAAUGAAUAUGAUGUAUUAGGUAAAUAUGACCAUACCUUGAAUAAUCAUCAAUGAAGCUAAUGAAAUAUUCAUAUCCACCUCGAGUUUUGACAUUCAUUGGUCCACAAAGGUCCGAAUGUACGAGCUCUAAGGGUCCUUUGGCUCUUAGACCUUUUCCAGUAAAAGAUCUCUUGGUCAUUUUUCCUUCAAGACAAGAUUCACAAGGAGGUAAAGAGUUAUCUUCUAACGGACUUAGAAGCCCACUUUUAACCAAUCUCCCAAUCCUAUUGAGAUUUAUGUGACCAAGUCUUAAGUGCCAUAAAUAGGCAUUUAGAAGAAACUUUUUGUCUUUUAUUCUGAGUGUCAGCUAUUCUGAAUAUUUCAGUAUUUAAGACAAAAUUUGCUCUAGUUGGUCUUAACUUAUAUAAGUUGUCUUCAAGUAUAGCAGAACAAACUAGAAUACCUUUAUAGAAAAUGAACGCUUCAUUAAUUUCAAAAGAUAUUCUAUACAUUUGUUCCAAAAUACAAGAGAUAGAUAUUAAAUUUCUUUUCAUUUGAGGUACAUAUAAGACAUUCUUAAGUAUGACAUAUCUAUCUCUAAAAAACAACUUUAAAUCUCCCACUGCUGAAGUUGAGACCAUCUCUCCUGUUCCAACCUUGAGAGUGAUCUCGCCUUCUGAAAGCUUUUUCAAGAACUAUUUUCCUGAAAUGAGAAGCAAAUAUGGUUAGUGGCUCCUGAAUCUAGUAUCCAGGUAAAUUUUCAUAUUCCACUAAACAUGUUUCUACAACUAGUAAAUCAUAUUUACCUUGUGUUUCCUUCUCUGCCUUUUUUUCUGCAAGGUAUUUUGGGCAGUUUCUUAACCAGUGCCCGUUUUGGCCACAAUGGUAACACUUACCUUUUUCUGCAUCUUUCUUACCCUUGUUCUGUUUGGGAGUCUUUCCCUUUCCCUUCUUUUUUAUUUGAGCAUUAGGUUUUGAGGGUCCAGCUUUGGUUUUAGAGGACGAUCCUCUUAUAAAUUUUCUUUUUGUGGUAGCAACAUUUGCUUCCACUUGUUUUCCUUUACCCAUAGUUAGGUUUUGGAAUCGCUGGAGUUCAUUCAGAAGGGUUGUCAAGUUAAAUUCUAUCUUGUUCAAAGACGCAUUCGUUUGGAAUGGAAUGAAGCUCUUCGGAAGAGACUCUAAGAUAAAACUAACUUGAUUAACCUCUUCGAUGGGACCACCAUUCACUUCAGCGAUGUUGAAGUGCAUCAUCAUGUCCAGAACAUGUUCUCUAACAGAGGUCCCUUCCUUCAUACGCUUAGUGUAAAUGUAUUUGACUGCCUCGUGUCUUAAGGACCAUUCUGGUUGCCCAAACAUUCCCCUUAAUGAAUCCAUAAUCUCUUUAGCCGUGGCUAAGGAUUCAUGUUUCUUUGCCAAUACAUCAGACAUGCUGGCAAGAAUGUAAACACGGGCUUUUUCAUUAGCUUUUAUCCAUCGAUCAUAUGCAUCCCGACUAGUUCGGUUAGCAUUAGAGGCAGGGUUUUGAGGACAUUCCUCAGUUAAGACAAAUCUUAAAUCGUCAACCACUAGUAUUGUGUUAAGAUUUGAUUUCCAAGCCGCAUAAUUAUCGCCAUUAAGUUUUUCGGAAGCUAAAAGUUGAACUAUUGAGCUAUUCAUGCUGAAAAACAAACAUAUUCUUUUUAGGAAAAAACUAUAAUCAUAAAAAAUAUCCAAUCUAAUUUAGCAAUUACUAAUAAUGUACCCUUUCAUUAUUUGUAUUUUGCAACAAUAUUUCAAAGGUUUAGAACAACCUUCUCCGAAGGGUAGUUGAUUAUUCCUCCUUUGAACCAAGACAAUCUUGACUAGAUGCUAUCUCAAGAAUAACUCUUUAUUCUUUAUAGCACUUAGUUAUCGCUACUUUAGUCAAGAAUAUACUAACAACUUAGUAAUUCUUGUAAGUGUUACCCACCAUUUUCAGAUUUUAUAGAUUAGAAUCAUUUAUGAAAACUAAUCUAAGAAAUCCUAUCCAGUUUUGGAGUUCGCGGUGUUCCGAAUCCUAUAAUACAACCCUCCGAAGGGAACGUCGCUCCAGGGCAGACAAGCAGGCAUAUUAUAGAAAUCUCACGGUGCGACCUAAUGGAAGAGACCGUGGGAUGUGCUGCCACAAAUCCCUCACCCACUUACUAUGAACUACUUCCCCUAUUCACCUUGAUUUUGAUCCAUGCAAACACUCUCCGAAGGGAGGCCGCUCCUAUGCACGGCACAAAGCCCUGCAUGGACCUCACGGUGUGAACUCUUAGGGACACUAGAGCUAAAAUACAUUAUUUUUCUCUAGUUGAAGUGUUCUAAAAGAAAAAAAUAGGGUAAUCCAAACUUCAAGAUUUAUAUUUAGGCUAACUUAAACAAAUCUUAAGUCUAGAUAAAACAUCCAAGUAUAACCAUUAUACAGGAUUUUAACCUAUGAUGUCUAGGUGAAAAACCAUUUUUAUUACCUCACACCUCUCACGAAUGCUCAUAAAACUAGGUUAACUAGGCUCAAGAACUGAUUACGAUCUCCAGGUAGGAGGUGUUCCGUAAACCGUCAACUUAAGAACCUCCAACCUUAGUCAUCUUAUCUGAC
rnacentral:lncRNA from 1 species